CGUGUAGGCGGCCUCUUAAGUCUGAUGUGAAAGCCCGGGGCUUACCCCCGGAAGAGCAUUGGAAACUGGGAAGCUGGAGUACCGGAGAGGAAGGUGGAAUUCCUGGUGUAGCGGUGAAAUGCGUAGAUAUCAGGAGGAACACCGGUGGCGAAGGCGGCCUUCUGGACGGAUACUGACGCUGAGACGCGAAAGCGUGGGGAGCAAACAGGAUUAGAUACCCUGGUAGUCCACGCCGUAAACGAUGGGCACUAGGUGUUCGGGGUAUUGACCCCCUGAGUGCCGCAGCUAACGCAUUAAGUGCCCCGCCUGGGGACUACGGCCGCAAGGUUAAA
rnacentral:rRNA from 1 species